CCUCGGCUGGCCGAUUGGUUUAAGCAUCUGCCUUUUAAGCAGGAUCAGGCUGGUUCGAUUCCAGCGCCGGGGA
rnacentral:tRNA from 1 species